GUGGAGACAAAGUCUUACAUAACCUUGUAUACCUGUGACUAGGAAACUGUAGUUGCUAUGUAAUUAAAGUUUUGCUGAUGACAGGAAUAGACCAAGCAGAUGCAGUACUUGGGAGGGAGCAGUUGAAGCCCUGGCGAACAGAGACAGAAAGGUGAGAACAGGACCCAGAGGCUCCUGGGCUGGAAAUGACCUGAAUGCUUCUUCCCUGAGGACUAAUACCAGAAAUCACCAUGAAAGCUUCCAAAGGAGAAGCACAGAGAGAAGCACUACUGGAUGUGUGAAGCAAAAUUCCACCAUUCCUAUUGAAAAGGCGAACAUGGAAAGGCAAUGUCCAGCCAGGUGUUGAGGUCGUGCCUGUUACUCAAACACUCGGGAACUCAGGAGGCAAAAGCAAGGAAAUCAGAUCUGAGGGAAGAAAGCCUGGGCUAAAAGCAAAACUGUCUCAGAAAAAAAUAAAAUAAAAGUGGUGGGUGGGGGAAAAACAAAAGAAAAACAAGCAAAUAUUUCUUAGUUUCCUUCUGAUUCAUACAAGUAAUUUACAACAUAUGAUUGUAUAAAUAAAUGUAUAAAUGAAU